GCGCGUAUCGUAUAAUGGUAAUACCUUAGCCUUCCAAGCUAAAGCUGCGAGUUCGAUUCUCGCUACGCGCUCCA
rnacentral:tRNA from 4 species